AGAAGGUUCUUUGUUCAUCUCCAUAAUAUUAUUUGUUUCUGGUCGGUUGGGCAUAUAUGCCUAUAUUAGGUUGUGAAUUGCAUCAUAUGAAAAUAAUUGGCAAACGCUCAAGGCACGGGCACUCAUCUGAAAAUAAUUUGAUUCUAGAUAGCAUAUCCUUAUGUGGAACUUUUAUUUUUGCAGGCUCAAGGCAUGGGCACUCAUCUCUGAAGAUGCUUCUCAAAAUUGUCCAAAAAAGGCCUCCACCUAGCAACCAUCUGGUGCAGCAGCCGCACCAAGUCGGCAUGUGUGUUCGGGGUCGAUGGCUUGGAAAACGCAAAUGUGUAGGAGCAGAAGCAGUGCAAGGAAGUGUGGGAGCAGAAGCAGUAUAAGAUCGUCGCUUCGGGCUGCUAUGCAAUGCUUAGCCACCUCGCUCACCUGCACCAUUCCUGAGCAAUGAAGAACCAAGGCGCUCCGUUCCCAUCAAGGCCUUCGCCUUCAGGAGGGCUCCCGGACAGCUGUGAGGAGCGCGGCGCACCUGGUCGACCAUUGGAUCAGUGCAGUUCGGUUCAUGGUAGAAUGCUCCUAGAGUUUUGAUCUCCUCUGCGCCGCUACCGUGAAUCUCUCCAGGUAGUGUCUCCUUCUUUCCCACCCUUCCAGCUUGCUGAGCGCACUCCGGCGCGCCCUUUUUUGUCCGUCAGAUGGUAGCUAUGAACGAACAGGAUCAUCAGUUCGGGUAGAUAGAAGCAAAUUACUGUUAUGUUAUAUGUAAUUCCAUGACUAGCAUCUUGGCCCCGCUUUAAGCAUAGUUGCUGGGUAAAGUGCAUCCGGUAAAAACGGCACCCAAUCUCUCCCGCAUCGGCACAUGAGGAGAAACUUAACCUCUACAUCGUAUACUUCACUGGUUAUUCCUAUUCCUUGCAAUCUGUGCCUCCUAUUUUUCAAAUUGUCUGCAGCUACAUCAGGCAAAUUUAGAAAACUGGGAAUUUGGAAGGUUCAGUUUUAGUGCAACUUAUGUGCACUACGUUUCUUACAGAUCAUAGUAAUCUAUUUACUGAAGUCAGUCCCAGCAGAUUUGAGGUAAAUCGUAGAAUGGACGUGUUCUAAAAAAAGAGAAAGUUGAAUGG